rnacentral:rRNA from 1 species
CCUACGGGAGGCAGCAGUGAGGAAUAUUGGUCAAUGGGCGGAAGCCUGAACCAGCCAAGUAGCGUGCGGGAUGAAGGCCCUACGGGUUGUAAACCGCUUUUGCACGGGGAUAACACCCUCCACUUGUGGAGGUCUGCAGGUACCGUGCGAAUAAGGGCCGGCUAAUUCCGUGCCAGCAGCCGCGGUAAUACGGAAGGCCCGAGCGUUAUCCGGAUUUAUUGGGGUUAAAGGGAGCGUAGGCGGGCGUUCAAGUCAGCGGUAAAAUCGCGCGGCUCAACCGCGACCCGCUGUUGAAACUGGACGCCUUGAGUGCAGAAGAGGCAGGCGGAAUUCGUGGUGUAGCGGUGAAAUGCGUAGAUAUCAGGAGGAACCCCGAUUGCGAAGGCAGCCUGCCGGGGUGCGACUGACGCUGAGGCUCGAAGGUGCGGGUAUCAAACAGGAUUAGAUACCCCUGUAGUC